AAUCCGGCAUAGUCGAAGAAGAAGUCGAGCUGAAAGGUGCCCGUCAACUUAAAUAAAGGUGAGGUGAAGAAGACACCCCGUAGAUCGUCAUUUCGGGUCACUUGCAAAACUUCGCCGGUGAGGUUCAGAAACCUGCCAACCACCGGUGGAACUCUACGGAAGUCCAGGAUGCUAACAGUAAUUCACA